rnacentral:lncRNA from 1 species
CUCUUGGAGAGGCCCUGCAGCCAAAGCAGAGCCUAACGAAGAUAAUAACACGGAGAAAAAGAAAGAAAAAAAAAUACGAGAAAGAAAGAAAAAGUAGACAGUGCUGAAAUCAGAGGUGACCUCUCCUUUUGCCGACUCCUGCACUUCCCAGCCCCUCACCAAACCAGUGCUGCUCCAGACCCACGGUGCCUGGGGACAGCAGCUGCCUCCCCCCGAGCUCCGGCCUGGCACGUCGGGGCGGCAGCACCCCGUGCCAAAACAGGUUCUGGCUGAUGGCUUCCAGCGUGCUCAUUAACUUGGUGUUCUGGUUGGCUUCCUUAAUUGUGUUUUGUUUUUCUCCAUGCAUGCCAGGCUGGUCCUGCCCUUGUUCUUGGAGCUCCAAACCUGGGGGUCUCCGGCAGAGGUUGGGGAUGGAUGGGGCAUCCUCUGUGCUAUGGGGAUGCUGUGGGUGCUGCAGUGAUGCAACAAUGCCAUGGUGAUGCUGUGGCAAUGCUGUGGUGAAGCUGCAGGUGCUUUGGCAGUGCUGCAGCAAUGCUGUGAGUGUUGGGGUGAUACUGUGGCAACACUGUGGCGAUGCCUUGGCCAGGGGAGCUGAGAACACCAGUUCAUGGCCACUCCUGGUGCCUCACUGAGUGCUGCAGGAUAAUCCAUAUCAGCAAACCGACCCCAAAAACCAGCUCACCUGCCAGCGCCGAGGCCAGCUCCGGAAAAAUAAAUACCCCCUUGGCGUGUUUGUGGCAUUGGUUUCUUACUGCAAACACAAGGCUGGAUGGGAAAGGAAGGGAGGACUGAGUUGGUGCUGUUGAAUGCAGGAAGCAGGGCUCGCUCUGCUCUCCGGAGUUUGUUUGUUGCCCUAGGAGACACGCUGACAAGCAUCACAAGCUUUGAAAGUCAAUUGCUCGCUGGAGUUGAAAAUGUGUUUUCAGGUAUCUGGCUGAUAGGUCCUCCACCAGGAGGAUGUGUCUGGAAUGCUGAGUGAGGCAGCUGAACCCAGCCCAGCCCUGGGGCAGUGACGGGGAUGGCUGAGCUCGGAUGCGUGGAUAAAGUGCCACCACUCCCAGUGCCCAUAGAUCGGCAUGCUGGGGUGAUAAAGGAGGCCCA